AAGUUACUUAGAGCAUACGGAGGAUGCCUAGGCUUCCAUCAGCGAAGAAGGACGCGACAAGCUGCGAAAAUCCGCGGGGAUCUGCAAAUGAGACUUGAUCCGCGGGUGUCCGAAUGGGUCAACCCAUGCGGCUGAAGGCCGCAUACAUCGCGAGAUGAGCAGACGCAGGGAACUGAAACAUCUUAGUACCUGCAGGAAAAGAAAGAAAUAUCGAUUUCCUGAGUAGUGGCGAUCGAAAGGGAAAUAGCCCAAACCGGUUGCGUUUCGGCGCAUUCGGGGUAGUAGGACCGGGCGAUACGCGCAGACACUGGAGUGGAACCGUCUGGAAAGGCGGGCCGCAGCGGGUGACAGCCCCGUACACGAACACUGUCUGCAAGUUACCGGACUCCUGAGUAAGGCGGGACACGAGGAAUCCUGUCUGAAUCCGCGGGGACCACCCCGCAAGGCUAAAUAUGGAUGGAAGACCGAUAGCGAACCAGUACUGCGAAGGAAAGGUGAAAAGCACCGCGGACAGCGGGGUGAAAUAGAACCUGAAACCGUAUGCUUACAAGCGGUCGGAGCCGGCCAGUCCGGUGACGGCGUGCCUUUUGGAUAAUGAGCCUACGAGUUGCUUCUCGGCAGCAAGGUUAAGGACCAGGAGGUCCGGAGCCGAAGCGAAAGCGAGUUCUAAACAAGCGUUCAGUUGCCGGGAGCAGACGCGAAACCUUGUGAUCUACCCUUGUCCAGGCUGAAGUCUCCGUAACAGGAGAUGGAGGGCCGAACCAGUUUCCGUUGAAAAGGAUUUGGAUGAGGUGAGGGUAGGAGUGAAAGGCCAAUCAAACUGGGAGAUAGCUCGUACUCCCCGAAAUGUUUUUAGGAACAGUCUUCAAGCAGUCUUCAUGAGGUAGAGCUACUGAUAGGAUGCGAGGGCGUCAUAGCCAGUCAAAUCCUGACAAACUCCGAAUGCGUGAAGAUGAUCUUGUGGAAUGAGUCGUUGGGUGCUAAUGUCCGGCGGCAAAAGGGAAAUAGCCCAGACCAUCAGUUAAGGCCCCUAAACACAUGCUAAGUUAAUAGAACGAACUGCGGUCGCACAGACAGCUAGGAUGUUAGCUUGGAAGCAGCUAAUCAUUUAAAGAGUGCGUAACAGCUCACUAGUCGAGCGACUGCGGGUGGAUAAUAAUCGGGUAUCAAGCAUGUUGCCGAAACUAUGGGCUUCAGCUCACGCUGGAGCGGUAGGGGAGCAUUCCGGUCAGCUGCGAAGAAGUGCCGCGAGACACUUUGGAGCGUCCGGAAAAGAAGAUGUAGGCAUAAGUAACGAUAAUGCGGAUGAAAAAUCCGCACACCGAAACCCCCAGGUUUCCUGAUCAACGUUAAUCGGAUCAGGGUAAGUCGGGUCCUAAGGCGUAGCCGAGAGGCGAAGUCGAUGGCUAAACGGUUAAUAUUCCGUUACCUGUGGCAGAAUCAAAGGAGUGACGGAGUUGUGACACGCGCGCCGGCUGACGGAAUAGCCGGUUGAAGGUUGUAGGUAAAGGGACGGUUUAAGAGAUGGUCCCUGCUGAAAGCCGACAGUACGGAGAGCCUUCGGGCGAUCCGAUAGCCGCGGUAAUCAUACUCCCGAGAAAAACUCCGGCGGUCCAGUCUGCCAGAGCCCGUACCGUAAACCGACACAGGUGGGAAGGGAGAGAAUCCCGAGGUGCUCGAGUGAAUCAUGGCUAAGGAAUUCGGCAAAUUGACCCCGUAACUUCGGAAUAAGGGGACCCUCGCAGCAAUGCAGGGCGCAGAGAAAUGGUCCAGGCGACUGUUUACCAAAAACACAUGGCUUUGCAAAAUUUAAAGAUGACGCAUAAGGCCUGACACCUGCCCGGUGCCGGAAGGUUAAGAGGGGGCGAAGCCCCGGUAAACGGCGGCCGUAACUAUAACGGUCCUAAGGUAGCGAAAUUCCUUGUCGGGUAAGUUCCGACCUGCACGAAUGGUGUAACGAUCUGGACACUGUCUCAGCCAUGAGCUCGGUGAAAUUGUAGUAGCGGUGAAGAUGCCGCUUACCCGCAACGGGACGGAAAGACCCCGUGAACCUUUACUGCAGCUUAGCGCUGAUUUUUGAUAAACGAUGUGUAGGAUAGGUGGGAGACAGUGAAGCAUGUACGCCAGUAUGUGUGGAGUCGCCGUUGAAAUACCGCCCUUUGUUUAUCGGGGAUCUAACCUGGAGACAGGGACACCGCUUGGUGGGUAGUUUGACUGGGGUGGUCGCCUCCAAAAGAGUAACGGAGGCUUCCCAAGGUCCGCUCAGCACGAAUGGUAACCGUGCGCAGAGUGCAGUGGCAAAAGCGGGCUUGACUGCGAGACAAACAAGUCGACCAGGUACGAAAGUAGGGCAAAGUGAUCCGGUGGUUCCGCGUGGGUGGGCCAUCGCUUACAGGAUAAAAGGUACUCCGGGGAUAACAGGCUGAUCGCUCCCAAGAGCUCAAAUCGACGGAGCGGUUUGGCACCUCGAUGUCGGCUCGUCACAUCCUGGG
rnacentral:rRNA from 1 species